rnacentral:rRNA from 1 species
GAUGAACGCUGGCGGCGUGCCUAAUACAUGCAAGUCGAGCGAACAGACGAGGAGCUUGCUCCUCUGACGUUAGCGGCGGACGGGUGAGUAACACGUGGAUAACCUGCCUAUAAGACUGGGAUAACUUCGGGAAACCGGAGCUAAUACCGGAUAAUAUAUUGAACCGCAUGGUUCAAUAGUGAAAGCCGGUUUUGCUGUCACUUAUAGAUGGAUCCGCGCCGCAUUAGCUAGUUGGUAAGGUAACGGCUUACCAAGGCAACGAUGCGUAGCCGACCUGAGAGGGUGAUCGGCCACACUGGAACUGAGACACGGUCCAGACUCCUACGGGAGGCAGCAGUAGGGAAUCUUCCGCAAUGGGCGAAAGCCUGACGGAGCAACGCCGCGUGAGUGAUGAAGGUCUUCGGAUCGUAAAACUCUGUUAUUAGGGAAGAACAAAUGUGUAAGUAACUAUGCACGUCUUGACGGUACCUAAUCAGAAAGCCACGGCUAACUACGUG